UACAGAGGUCUCAAGCGUUGUUCGGAUUCAUUGGGCGUAAAGGGUGCGUAGGCGGCGCGGUAAGUCGGGUGUGAAAUCUCGGGGCUUAACUCCGAACUGCAUUCGAUACUGCCGUGCUUGAGGACUGGAGAGGAGACUGGAAUUUACGGUGUAGCGGUGAAAUGCGUAGAUAUCGUAAGGAAGACCAGUGGCGAAGGCGGGUCGUCGUGGACAGUUCCUGACGCUGAGGCACGAAGGCCAGGGGAGCAAACGGG
rnacentral:rRNA from 1 species